rnacentral:lncRNA from 1 species
UACAUAAUAAUGAUAAAUGCUAUUAAAGUACAGUUCAGUACAUUACGCAUAUCCACAGUGUUGUACAACCAUCACUACUAUCCAUCUCUGAAACUUUUUAUCUUCCUUAACAAACUUUGUGCCCAUUAAACCCUAACCUUGGCCAGGUGUGGUGGUUCACGCCUGUAAUCCAGCACUUUGGGAGGCUGAGGCAGGCGGAUUGCUUGAGGUCAGGAGUUCGAGGCCAGCCUGGCCAACAUGGUGAAAGCCCGUCUUCACUAAAAAUACAAAAUUUAGCCAGGAGUGGUGGCACAUGCCUGUAAUCCCAGCUACUCAGGAGGAAGAGGCAGGAGGAUCACUCGAACCCGGGAGGCAGAAGUUGCAGUGAGCUGAGCCCACAGUAAGUUUGUCAAACGGGUCAAAGUUGUCUGCAGCUCCACUUAGCCUAGAAUCCAGUCAUGCCACUGCACUCCAGCCUGGGCGACAGAGCGAGACUCCAUCUCAAAAAAGGAAAAAAAAAAAAAAAAAAAAACGCUAACUUCCCAUUUCCUUUCUCCCACCAGCUCCUGGUACUCGCCAUUGUACUUUCUGUCUCUGUAAAUCUGACUAGUUUAGGUACCUCAUAUAAGUGAAAUCAUAUUAAUACAAUAGUCGUCCUGCGUCUGCUUUAUUUUAUUCAGCAUAAUGUUUUCAAGAUGAAUAUCAAAUAUUUUUUAUAAAAAGUAUACAUUUUACAUGCAAAAUUUAUUAAGUUUAACACUGCAAUCAAAUGGCAAAGACAUCAUCAAAAACAUGUACGAAGCAAGCACCUUUUGCUGGCAUCACUUCAUUGGAUCCUCACAGCUGCUCUGUGAGAUGGGCUUUACAGAUGAAAGAAUAGAGCCCAGGGAAGAUAAGUGACUUACCCAAGGACAUGCAGCUUGUAAACCAACAAGCAAACAUGCACAUUCAGGUCUUCUAAUUUCCAGUCCUUUUUAAUUUACAGGAUCAGCUGCCUCCCAUCCCAUUUAUAAGGAUGGUCAAAACAAAAAGAUACCAAUGUUGGACAGCAAGUCAGGGAAGGAGCUAGAACUUGAUAAACUAGCUUUUGUAAGUGAUAACGGGAGGGAAGUGCUGGGAAGGGCGUGGUCCCUUUAAAUAACAGGAAAGGAGGGAAAGGAAGUGCUGGGUAGAGGAGGGCGUGGUCCCUGGCGAGGGCUCCACCCCCAAACCCGUGCCCACGGGUCUAAGUGAGGACAGGCAGACACACAAGCAGCUGGACGUGGAGAGGAACACAUCGCAGAAGACACAAGCAGCUGGACAGCGAGAGGAUGUGGAUGGGAGCACGCCAGAGGAAGAGCACACGACAGAUCCCAGCAUGCCGACAGGCCACGACUGGCGGAAGGAGGAACAGUUGGCGGAGUUUGGCCGGGGCAAUCAGAGGAGAGCCCAGGCAGUCUAGCGGCCCAACUCCAGGGGAAAACCAUCUCCCUUCUGGCUCCCCCAUCUGCUGAGAGCUACUUCUACUCAGUAAAACCUUGCACUCGUUCUUCAAGCCCAGGUGUGAUCCGAUUCUCCUGGUACACCAAGGCAAGAACCCAGGGAUACAGAAAGCCCUCUGUCCUUGCAAUAAGGCAGGGGUCUAAUUGAGCUAACACAAGCUAACUAUGGACAGCUAAACUAAAAGAGCACGUGGUAACACAUGCCCACUGGGGCUUCAGCUGCAAACAUUCACCCCUAGACAUUGCUGUGGGGUCGGAGCCCCACAGCCUGCCCAUCUGUAUGCUCCCCUAGAUUUGAGCAGUGGGGCACUGAAGAAGCCAGCCACAUCCCCAUUCCACACCCUGCAAGGGGGACAAGGGAACAUUUCCCGUUUCACUGAGAAGGGCAUUCCAGGCUGGUAACCAUCUGUGACCUGGGUGCAGAGAUGAGCUUGGUAGGGGCUGCACAAGGAAGAAAGAAGCAGGAUGUGGAUAGGAACUGUGAAUAUCCUAAUCUGAUUUAAAAAGGACUCUUAGAAGAAUCUUUCCUUUCAUUCCAACCUAUAAUGGAUUAUCUUAAACAAGGACCUUUGUUCUUUUUUUCCCUGCCUCAUGAGAAUAUACAGAUAAAUAGAAUUUCAGCCAAACACUACAUGUGCCCUGAGAGCUUCCUAGUUGGCAUCUGCUGCAUUUGUCUUUUCCCACUGCAGCCUGGACUGGUGCAGGAUGUGGAAGGGAUGAGGUAUUGCUUAACACACAUUAGAGACAAAAUCCUUGACAAAAAUAAAGUACUAAAGUGAAUUUGAUUCAUUUACUUGAUAACCCAUACUAUAGACUACCUUUGCCCUUAAGAUUGAUUUCUGCAGACCAGAGAAUUUUUUUAUUGCCUCAGCUAUUAAUGCCAGCCCAACCACAAUUUUCUAGAAUUUCUUUCAUUUCUUUCUGAAAAGCACACACAUCUUUAUUUCAUAUUGCAUCACUUCUUUAGAAGAAAACAUGAUUUUGCUCAUUGUUUUUGGCAACAUUGCUAAAGAUAUAAAAGCAUUUAAUUUAACAAUAAUUACUAUCAAAAGAAAUAACUUUUGAAAAACUUCCCAGAGUGUUUAUUACAGAAACAAAAAGAAAAACUGAGAGGAGUGAAGACUAGGCAUUUGCAAUUUGUGGAUACCAACCACCCAUAAGCAGAAGAAGAAUAAUUUGGUUCUAAUCAAAAGAUUUGGUCUAUUUGGGGCCAGGUGCAAUGGCUUAUUCGGGGAACUCUGUAUGUAAGUUGGCAAAGACCAAAAUAGUGCCAACAUAUGAAGCACUGAAAAAGAAAAAGUUAAAAUAUCUUAGCCUCAACACUCGAAAUAUAGCAAGCCCACAUAUUUGAAGACCAAACACAUCAAGACUCAUCUUUCCCUUAAAAGAAUUUUCAGCUGGGCACAGUGGCUCGUGCCUGUAAUCCCAGCACUUUGGGAGGCUGAGGCGGGUGGAUUACUUUAGACCAGGAGUUUGGGACCAGCCUGGCCAAAAUGUGAAACCCCCGUCUCUACUAAAAAUAUAAAAAUUAGCCGAGACUGGUGGUGCACACCUGUAGUCCCAGCUAUUCAGGAGACUGAGACAAGACUCGCUUGAACCCAGGAGGUGGAGGCUGCAGUGAGCCAACAUUGCACCACUGCACUCCAGCCUAGACAACAGAGUGAGACUUUGUCACAAAAAAAAAAAAGAGAGAAUUUUUCUUUGUCAGAUGUAGAAUAUAACUUAAGAGAAAUUUAUUAACAUUUAAGCUCCUUAGUAUAGAAAACUGGAGGAAAAUAACUUUAGUACACACUUAAUUUGCUAUACUAAAUUUUUUUAAUAAAGACCUUCAAAAGGAAAAUUUAGAUUAUAAGUAGCAUGGCACAUAUAGAAUAUGAACACAGAAAGUUCAUAUCUAAGCCCUAAGCCACUUAUGAUAAACACCUAUAAAAGGAACAAAAACUAAACUUCCACAUUAUUUUACCCAGUAAAAGAUGUAGGCUAUUAGUAGAAAGUUGGUUAAGUAAAUUCAAAAAAUAAAAAUAUAAAAAAGAAAUAAUGAGAAAAUUUUUGAAAAAUAUUAAUAAAAUAAAGAUGUAGGCUACAUAGCUGAGGCUAUUAUUCACACCAUAUAGAAAUUAGGUUCUCGGGCCAAGCAGAAACUAUAACAUAAUCAGAAAGAAUACCUAAAGAAAUAAAGUAUGACUUCCUAAAUUUUUUAUUUUAAAAAUGCCCAGUUUAUUUAUUUGCUUUGCCUAAGAUAGCUGCAUUCAUUAUUACAGGGUCAGGGGACUUGUAAAAACAAAUAUCAAUUAUUAUAAAUAAUCACAGAAAACAAAUAAACUGGAAAAUAAACAGCGGUUACUAAUUUAAGGUUUUAACCCUUACCCCAACCACCCAAAAAAAGUAGCCAUUUUUAAAAUAAAGAUUAAGAGUUGGUGGAAUUUAAGGGAAAUGCCAUCCGGUAAUGUUACCUAAAUACUAGAAAGGAAUCAGCACAAGGAAACAGGAACAAAGCAGUGCAGUACUUCGGUAUUACAGCGCCACCCACUGGCUAGAAGUCCUCAUAGCACAUAUGAGAUGUAGCCAUAAAAUAGAUGAAUUCUUGAAAUAAGGAAUAUAACACUGACUAUUCUGAUUCAGUAGAACAUAAAAAAUGUCUAACAAAACAGAACCAGACACAUUAUAUUAUUUCUACAAGUAAACAGAAUAUCUAUUAGAUAUGUUCACAAGGGUUUUAUCAAUUUUGAAAUCCAAGUGUAUAAUCCCCAAAUGCUGUAAGGACUUAAAUUUUAUAGCCAAAACAAUUAACACAUAAAAUGCUAUUUCAUCUCUGUAGCUGAAUACAUAAAUAGUAUCUUUAAGUAAAAGAUGCAUACUUGCAUUUCAUUGCUAAGCAAUUCAUAAUAUAUUUAAAUGCUGGUAAAACCUACAAUGGCAUCUGCUUCACUUCUACCUUUACUAGAGAAGUAACAAAAUACACUGAGCAAAGGAUAUGUCCAAAAAACUAAACUGAAAAACAGUUUCUAAAUAAAGUCCACAGACCAUUCAGAUAAACUAGUAAAAAUAGUUUUUCUUUAAAGUACCACAGCACCUUUGUAGUUCAAAAUAUAUUUACCAUAGGCUGGGCGUGGUGGCUCACGCCUGUAAUCCCAGCACUUUGGGAAGCUGAGGCAGGCAGAUCACAAGGUCAGGAGAUCGAGACCAUCCUGUGAAUGGUGAAACCCUGUCUCUACUAAAAAUAUAAAAAAAAUUAGCCCGGCAUGGUGGCGGGCACCUGUAGUCCCAGCUACUCAGGAGGCUGAGGCAGGAGAAUGGUGUGAACCCA